rnacentral:lncRNA from 1 species
UUCACCACACAAGUAAAGAAUGGGGUUGGCAGUACUGUCCUUACAUGGGCCAAGAAGGGUACCCCAUGCUUUCAGGAUCCUGCUGUGUCCUUUCUCUAGCUCUGCACCACCCUAUGUUUCUGCUUUCUAGAACCGGUUUCAACCACCCAGUGCCCCAGAGUUCCCUACCCAAACAUCCCCAAACUCCCUUCCAGGCCUGCACUGGACUUUUCCCCAAGUCCGUACUCUUAAAGGCCAGAAUGUGCUGAUAGUGUGUGUACCCUAGGCCCAAGCUUUGGGGUGAUGUUGGGGAGGGUGAGUGGAGCUUAGAUUAAGUGGUCCAUACAUCUAUACCCAAAAGCGUUUGUUGAAUUGGAGAAAGCCAGGGAGCAGAGAGCAGUGGAGCGGGCUGGCAUAUUCUACAGCAGUAAGUUCCAGCAUGGAAAAAUCCAAGGAGCCUGAAAAUUCUAAAUCUGAGCUUGGCCUUCAGGUGUGCUUCCAUUUAUGCUCUUGCCUUGGGCUGCAGAAAUGUUAGGGCAGGCCUGGAAGCAAGGCACAGAGAUGGUUCUGAGCCGACAGAAGAGAGACAGAAAGGUCCAGAGGUGUAAUUUGGGAAUCCAAUCACAAGCAGGCAUAAGGCAGCCAAGAAGGAUGAGCCGGUGAUCUCUGCAGUCUGCCCAUAACUCCACACAAAACUUUACCCAUUGUCACAGGAGAGUAUAAGCAUAGCAUAAAGAUCCUCGUAGAUGGACUUUCAGCUCCAUGCUUAAAGCAACUGACAAGAAUCCAUUUCUUUUCAGUGUACAAGUGAAGGGUAAAAGACAGAGAAGGAAGAUAGAGCAUAGGAAAAAGAGUGGGGUGACUGAAAGCUCUGUGAAGAUAAGGAACUGUGCCCUCACAGCCUUGCUCAUGUUCUCCACAGAUAUUUGUCCAUUCAUUUGUUGAAGAAAUGGUUAAAUAAAGGAAUGAAUGACUAAAGACCAGGUUGGCAGGUGAAAGCCAGGGCAGGGGCCUGGGGCAGCAGGCAGAGACACAGCUCUCACAAAUGCAAGAGGAAGACGAAUCAGGCACUCGUCUGUUCUUCAAAGGAUACAGAAUGGUUUUAUUGACCACCUGUACAUGUGAUGGCUUUCAUCCUGGAGGAGAAGGGCAUAUCCACACCUACCGAAUAUCUGUUUCACAGGCAAUGUGCCAAUUAUUUACAUGCAUAAUCUCAGUAAAUCCUUAGACAACUCUGUGGAGGCAUUUACUGAUAUCUCCAUUUUACCCAGGAGGACACUGAGGUCCAGAGAGAUUAAACCAUUUGUCUGAGGUCACACGGCCAGUGAAAUUUUGAUGCAGGAUUUAAAUCCAAGUCUGUCUCUUACCACUGUAUCAUGCUGUUUUCAGAGGUGAGGGGAGGUGUCUUAAGAGUACCAUAUGGCUUCUGCCACUGGGGAGACCACUGUCAAAUUCCAAGAGGAAGAUCAUGAGGGUCUCAACUGAAUUACUGAAGGGGAGAUUGUGUGAGAAGAGACAGAUUUA